rnacentral:rRNA from 2 species
GGAGCUUGCUCCCUGAGAUUAGCGGCGGACGGGUGAGUAACACGUGGGUAACCUGCCUGUAAGAUUGGGAUAACUCCGGGAAACCGGAGCUAAUACCGGAUAACAUUUUGAACCGCAUGGUUCAAAAUUGAAAGAUGGUUUCGGCUAUCACUUACAGAUGGACCCGCGGCGCAUUAACUAAUUGGUGAGGUAACGGCUCACCAAGGGAACGAUGCGUAACCGAACUGAAAGGGUGAUCGGCCACACUGGGACUGAAACACGGCCCAAACUCCUACGGGAGGCAGCAGUAAGGAAUCUUCCGCAAUGGACGAAAGUCUGACGGAACAACCCCCCGUGAACGAUGAAGGCCUUCCGGUCCUAAAGUUCUGUUGUUAGGGAAAAACAAGUACCAAAAUAACUGCUGGUACCUUGACGGUACCUAACCAGAAAGCCACGGCUAACUACCUGCCAGCAGCCGCGGUAAUACCUAAGUGGCAAGCGUUGUCCGGAAUUAUUGGGCGUAAAGCGUACGCAGGCGGUUUCUUAAGUCUGAUGUGAAAGCCCACGGCUCAACCGUGGAAGGUCAUUGGAAACUGGGGAACUUGAGUACAGAAGAAGAGA